rfam:Tupaia chinensis contig77247, whole genome shotgun sequence.
GCAUGGGUUUGGAUUUAUGGCAGACUCGUUCCCCUGGGCCUGGGCCUCUCAUAGUGUCCCAUGCCAGAGCGAACUGGCCCGAACCAUUGCCUGGUCUCUGCCUGUGGGCUGCUGGUACUAAAGCGGUUGCACAGAG